rnacentral:rRNA from 1 species
CCUACGGGUGGCAGCAGUGGGGAAUAUUGCACAAUGGGGGAAACCCUGAUGCAGCGACGCCGCGUGGGUGAGGAAGUACUUCGGUAUGUAAAGCCCUAUCAGCAGGGAAGAAAAUGACGGUACCUGACUAAGAAGCCCCGGCUAACUACGUGCCAGCAGCCGCGGUAAUACGCAGGGGGCAAGCGUUAUCCGGAUUUACUGGGUGUAAAGGGAGCGUAGACGGCGUGCCAAGUCUGAUGUGAAAGGCCGGGGCUCAACCCCGGUACUGCAUUUGAAACUGGCAUGCUAGAGUGUCGGAGGGGCAAGCGGAAUGCGUGGUGUAGCGGUGAAAUGCGUAGAUAUUAGGAGGAACACCGAUGGCGAAGGCGGCUUGCUGGACGAUAACUGACGUUGAGGCUCGAAAGCGUGGGUAGCAAACAGGAUUAGAUACCCCAGUAGUC